UGUUAAAAAAUUGGUUUAAAUAUCAGUUUUCAGUGCUUUGGAGGCUAAAAACAGGAAAAAAAACACAAAUGUUAGCGGAAAAACUGAUUUUAAAUAGUUUUAACAGUAAAAUGAGAAAAAAACAAAGCAAUUUUAUUUAAAAUACGAUUUU
ensembl:snoRNA Y41E3.464 ncRNA